AUCUUUGCGCUUGGGGCAAUGACGUAGCUUAUGAGGUUUUAACUGAGGCGCGUCUAUUGCUGGUUGAAAACUAUUUCCAAACCCCCUCUUAGGCUUGGGUUCAGCUCUGGCCUUCAACCCGAAAAUGAUAAAGUAUUAAGGAAAAUAUGAUAUUAUUUUCGUGUA
rfam:Lupinus angustifolius cultivar Tanjil chromosome LG03, whole genome shotgun sequence.